rnacentral:rRNA from 1 species
AUUCCAGCUCCAAUAGCGUAUAUUAAUGUUGUUGCAGUUAAAAAGCUCGUAGUUGGAUUCCUGGCACGGGGUAACCGGUCCGCCUUGCAAAAGGUACGCACUGUGUGGCCUCGGCCAUCCUUGGGAAGAGCGGCUCUGACAUUCGGUUGUCGGGGUCGGGAUUCCCGACGUUUACUGUGAAAAAAUCAGAGUGUUCAACGCAGGCUUACGCCUUGAAUACAUUAGCAUGGAAUAAUGAGAUAGGACCUUGGCGGUCUAUUUUGUUGGUUUGCACGCCGAGGUAAUGAUUAACAGGGACGGUUGGGGUUCUUCGUAUUCAAUUGUCAGAGGUGAAAUUCUUGGAUUUAUGGAAGACGAACUGCUGCGAAAGCGUCGAACAAGGACGUUCUCAUUG